UCCAGCUUAUCGCUGGCGGUCUCCUGCGAGUGCCCAACUAAAUGAUGGCAACACAGGACACAAGGGUUGCGCUCGUUGCGGGACUUAACCCAACAUCUCACGACACGAGCUGACGACAGCCAUGCAGCACCUGUGCAAACUGGUCUUGCGACCUCGUCGGACUUUCAUCCUUCUACCAUUUGCAUGUCAAGCCCAGGUAAGGUUCUUCGCGUUGCAUCGAAUUAAGCCACAUACUCCACCGCUUGUGCAGGCCCCCGUCAAUUUCUUUGAGUUUUAGCCUUGCGGCCGUACUCCCCAGGCGGGGUGCUUAAUGCGUUAGCUUCGGCACGGACGGGGUUGAUAUCCGCCCACACCUAGCACCCAACGUUUACGGCUAGGACUAC
rnacentral:misc_RNA from 1 species